GACGAAGUGGCCAGGGAGAAGGAAGUGUGGGUUUCCCUGCUUAGACUGCUGCCCCUGCAACCCGACCCGGAAAAGUGGUAGAAGGUGGAUAGAUGGAUGUAUAGAUGGAAGAUAUUAUAGGUCUUAACUGCUUUCUAAUUUUGUGACACAUAUUUAUAGAGUAAUGAUAUUGUUUAAUUCAGUCCUUAUUGUUGUUUCCUGUUGUAUGGCCGUGGAUGGUUUUCUUUCAGGUACCACCUGCUGGUGUAGCAAUUCACAAAUGAAACGUGACCCACAAAUAGACAGGAUAUGAUGCACAAAUAUGCAAAACCACUCUGUAUUUUUGUGGGUAUUUUACACAGUGUAAAUUUUAAAAAUACAUAUUUAUGGAUAGUGAAAUAUUUGUGGAUCAUGGUACAUGCGUUACAAAUAAUGAAAUCUAAUGUAUACUUCCAUACAUGGGAGUUUGCUCAAGCAGUCUACUUGUGGUUUGUGGAUUUGGAAAAGGCAUAGGACUCUGUCCCGUGGGAGGUCCUGCAGGGGGUGUUUCAGGGGUAUGGGGUUCACUGUGUGCAAACAGAGUGAGAGCUUGGUCUGCACUGUCAGUAGUAAGUCAGACUCGUUCCCAGUGGGUAUUAGACUGCAGGCCUGCCCUUGGUCAAUGAUUCUGUUCAUAACUUUUAUGGACAGAAUUGCUAUGCAUAGCCAAGGCGCAGGGAAGGUCCAGUUUGGUGACCUCAGGAUUGCGUCACUGCUUUCAGCAGAUCAUGUGGUCCUGUUGGCUUCAUCUGGCUGUGACCUGCAGCAUGCACUGGGGCGGUUUGCAGCUGAGUGUGAGGCAGCCAGAAUGCGGAUCAGCACCUCCUAGUCUGGUCAUGUGUCUCCACUGGAAAAGGGUGGAUUUCUUUGUUCUGUCAUGGGACAGAGGGAGCUGAUCUAUUGAUUUACCAGUCAAUCUAUAUUUCUACACUCACCCAUUGUCAUGAGCUUUGGUGACUGAAAGAAAGAGAUACAAGUGGCAGAAAUGAGCUUCCUCCUUAGGCUGUCUGGGCUCAGCUUUAGCGAUAUGGACAUGGAGCUCGGACAUUUGGCCGGAGUUCAAAGUAAAACUGCUGCUACUCUCCAUCGAAAGGAGCUAAUUCAGGUGGUUCGGGCAUCUGUCAAGGCGUUUUGGGCAUGUCAAACUGGGAGGAGAUCCUGGGGAAGACCCAAGACAUACUGGAGAGAGAAUAUAUUCUGGCUGGCCUGGGAACACCUUGGUAUUUCUCCAGAGAAGCUGGAGGAGAUGACUGGUGAGAGAGAGGUCUGGGAAUCCCUGCAGAUAUGAGGUGGAAAAUGAAUGAAGGAUGAGAAUAUUCCUGGUACAUUGGCCAUACACAAACUUCACGUAAUCUAAAGCUAAAGCGGCAUCCAUCUAGAUUUUAUAUUUUCAGUCAUGCUAGAACAGAAAAGUCAUUUUGGACAAUUCUAUGCUUCCAACUUUGUGGGAACAGUUUGCGGAAGGCCCUUUUCUGUGUUGGUGUGGAAGAACUUGACCGCGCCCCAUCGAACACCUUUGGGAUGAGCUAGAACAGAGAUUGUGAUUCAGGCCUUCACAUCCAACACCAGUGCCUGACCUCACAGAUGCAAACUAGAAGCCUGGAUUUGCAAAGCUGCAUAUUUUCGACUGUGGAAGGAUAUCCACAGAAUCUGGGGGACCUGCGAAUUCCACACACAACCAGUGGAGGGUGUCAGUUCCACAACCCAAGGGUGCUUUUCCACUGCACGAAGUACAGUACUUUCGGUACUUUCGCUUUUCCAUUGACUUCCGGUCUAGUUCCAGUACCGAAAGUGCCAAACCAACUGGGGUACUUCUUUGGUACUUUGGGGUGGGACUGGCAAACGUAUUUGCUGUCGAUUGGUUGUGCAAAUAGCCUGCUUCUGAAACACAAAAUACUUUAAAAUCUUUGGAAACACACAGUGAACAGCGAGAAAUGAAAUAAAAAGCACUAGAAACAAAAAUAUUAAAAAAGUAAAAUGGAAGGAUGGACAAACACAGGCUUUAAUCGCCAUAUGGUCAGAUGAACAGAUCCAGUGGGAUUUGGAUGCACGACUCAAAAUAAAAAAAUUAUUUGCCGUAAUAGCAAGCCGCUUGGAAGAAAUGGGGCACACGUGAAACACCCAACAAUGCCGCUUGAAAAUAAAAAAACUACAGGAAAGUAAUACCCACUGAGUCACUGGGGUGGACGCUUCCUUUAAUUUGUUUUGAAUACAAUUUUUAAAUCUAAAAAAUCACGACUCUCCAAAAGGAUGCUGGAAGAAGAUGUUUUUAUGAAAAAAAAUGUUACUUCAACUCAGUAACAUCUCACUAUAGCACAAUAAUAUAAUAAAACAUUAGUAUUGAAUGAAAUUCUUAACAUAUUUGGCUGCUGAUGUGACUGAGUGGUGAUCUACUGACGUGACAGCACUCUCUCCGUUUUGUGUUUUUACCAUUAGAAAAAAAGGUAGGCAGGAAACCUUUCCCAGGAACAAGUGGGCAGACAAAAACAUGCCUAAAGGAGAUUUAGCCUACCUACCGUGGCCGACAAAGGUCACUCUCGAAGGUCACAUAAAAGUCAUCACAUAAUAGAGACUAUGACUCCCAUCCAUCCAUUUUCCAAACCGUUUAUCCUACUGGGUUACGGGGGAGACUAUGACUCAUCAAUGCAAUUACAAAUGUUAAACAGUUCUUUGUCGGAACUGAAUAUUUUGCUCCCCUCCCUUUUACCCAUCUGUCAGCGAUUUGCAGGUGUCUCCCUCGAAAAAUGCUCCAUUAUGCCUUUGUUGUUCUACCCCUAACGCCACCUGCUGCAUCACACAGUGUGUUCCUAAACACCCAUGCAUGCCCCAAGGGCUUGUGUCUGCCCCCUUGUGCAGAACUGUUUAAAUUGCGCCAUGUGGUUCACUUGCAUAAAUCUGUUGGGAGCUGACUUGUCAGAGCAUUCAUUGAAGCCACUUUUACCUGGACUCCUCUCACCAAGCACAAGAUGCUCAGAUGGGCUUUGAUGGUAAGAUCUGAUUUUUUCAUUCUCAUUUUCCUACCCUCUUGUACUGCGACUGAGAUUCAAACCUUACAUUUUUUCUAACUAUGUUUCCAUGUUUGACCACAACAGGGCAGUCACCUUGCCUACAAAGCUUUAGUUUAUCCUAGUUAUUACAAAAAUGCUUAACGUGUACACGGUCAGAAAAAGCUUACAGCCCUGAUAGAGUUUAAGGUACAAAUAACAAUAAUGUACUCUUUAUUGUACAAAAAAAUGUUCUUUUGAGUCUAUUUCUGUACCUUAAAAGCUACAUUUACCUACAGCUAGGGUACAGUUGGCAGACCCUUGUGGGUAUAGCCCCAGUGACGAGUAACUGUACCCUCAAAGGUACAUAUCGGUACUUUUGUUCUGACAGUGUAGUGUACCCUAUCAUUCUCAGUUUUUCUUGAACUAAUAAUGUUUCCCCUUGAUACUGUUAUCCUGCUUUUAUGCUGAUUAGUCCCAAAAUUAUCCAAAAAAUCUAUCCAAAAUUACUUCAGAAUGACAUGGCAUCUGUUUCACAGUGCAUCCUACUACAUGCUGCCCAUCCGAUGCCUUUUGGAUCAGCAAGUUUUACAUCCUUGAACAAUGACUGCAAUUCCACCCAAUUCCUCCACCUCUUCACCAAAUGUGUCUCACCACCCAGACCAAUUAACAUGGAAUUAAGGAGAAAGUCUACAUCACCGUGGAAUUAUGAACCAUACAUAAGCCCCGACAUGGCCUAUGGCGACGGCAGGCUACUGCAGGCUCAGUGCAAGGACAGCAACUGCGUGGGAGGCUUUGGAUGGCAGUACCGGUCCAAACCCAUAAACCUCAACAUCCCGGUCGUGUUCCGGCGGCCCAUCAUCGGCACGCAGCCCGCCAACAGUACUCAGUACCGCCUGGAGCUCGGCCGCAUCAGCAUCACUGUCGGCUGCACCUGUGUGCGCGCCGGGUGAAAAACCGCGAUCGCCGCUGCCGAAAAAAAUGCAUUUAUUUGUAGAUAAUGCUGCUUCUGAUCCUAUUUGUAUAUAUAUUUAAAUCUUGUUCCUUUAUACAUUACAAUACUACCUGGCUGAAAUCCAGUGAACUAUGUGGUAGUUGUCAACCUUGGCGUCUAGGCUGCAAUAAAUUUAGAAAGCUAAAAACUAAACAUGACGCACUGUUCUUCUAACGGUACUAUUUUACAAUUAAAUAAUCGGCCUAAAUAAUAAUAAUAAUAACAACAACAAUGUAGUUGAACAACGUGCAGUGUCAAGAAUGUUAAGAAACUUUACUUCACACACAAAUAUCUAGAAAACAUGCUUGCUGAAUAGAAUCCAGAGUUUCAUUAAGUGUUUUUUAAAUGUCAGGCAUUUAUGUUACACUGAUUGUAAAAUGUUUCUCGUUGCCCUACUGAUUGUUUGUAGCAAAGCAAUUAAAACUUUACUGACUUUGCCAAA